UGGGUACGACAAAUUAGUUGCACAAGUAAUUGAAACAGCACGCACACAAUUACUUCAUUAGUUGUUAAUCUAAUGGGAUUGUUUUUGUAUGCCUUCUGAGUUUAACGAAAACUAUACUUAAAAAUACGUUUACUCAGUUUCAACUCAGUAAACUUUGGCGUACUUAAAUAUGGCCAAGUGGAGGUGUUCCGAUCAUUUGUCUGGUGUUUGGGCAGCAGAAUUAUCGGGACACGGAGAAGUUAGUUGCGGGAGUUUCAUAUCGAAGUCAGAAAACGAACGCAAGACAGAGAAGUUGGAUUUUAAAAAAUCAGGACAUGUAAGGAAGCUUCCAAAAUGCUCUUCAAAAAAUGCAAUAAUGACGCGAAUAAAUCGUCUCAACUACAUGAUGCAAUCUCAUCAGAGUGAAAUAGCUCGACUUUCUGAUGAAAACACCAAACUUAAAGAGACUUUGGAAGGUCAGUCUUCACUUGUGUGUUCAUUAAGAAAAGAAGUUCUUUACUUGAAGGGUGUGUUAGCAAACAACAAGGAGAUUAGAAUGUUGCUACAGUCUAUACAAAACACGGGGCUGCCAGUAACUACCUCCAUUAGCAAGCACACUCUGAACAAUAACACACAUUCAGCUCCAGAUCACAAUUAUGUGCAUACAGGAAGUGAUAGCAGCAUUUGUUCACGUUUCAGUGAUGUGGUUGAUGGAAGCAGCACAACAUUUACUUUAGAUAAAAAAGAACAAAUUUAUAUCAAAGAUGAUGUAGCACUUUCUUUGUCAAUGCCACAUCAUGAUAUUCUAGAUGAUACACUCCUAUCACCUUCUGAUAGAAAUCUUUAUGAUACUGAAUUUUGUGAUUGUUAUUCGGUUCAGCCUACCACCCUUGAUUUACCAGUCACUGGAUUUGCAGCAGGUGAUGAGCCAUUCAUGGAUGUUGGUGUUUGCCUGCAAGUUGCCAAGAGGAGGGUAUCGUUGGAAUUCUGUAGCACUUGCAGUAGCAGUGCACUUUCAACAUGGGAUGAUUUGGAUGUAAUAAAGUGAAAGGAAUUUGGCUUGUAACUUGAUAAUAAUGGCCUGUUGGAUGACUUCACUGUAAUGGAAGGCUUGCAGUUCUACCUUCCAUGUGAAGUAUGGCUAAGUCAUGUGGUGGACCAUGAAACUACAAGACGAAAUGUGUGGUGAGGUACUAAAAUUGUUUUAUGGUCGGUAUCUUCUUAUAUUUGUAAUAUGGAAUUUAUUAAGUGAUAUUUAUAUAAGGUAAAGUCUGAUGUAACAUGGACAUUAAAGAGAUCUUAAGAAUAUGUGCCUCAUAUCAGAUUAAUUUGUGUGUUCAUUGUAUAACACCAUUAAAAAUUCCAACAAGCAGUCUGAAUCUUGAGGUAUAAUAGAUACCUUUUUUAUUAUAUUUUUACAAGUUAAUUUCAUUUUGCUGUUAGUGUAUGUGCAUUCUUUAUAGGUGAAUUCUAGAACAAGACCUGAAAAAACGUUAAUUAGUUUCUUAUUAAGUUAAAAGUUAUUUUGUUUGCAUUGUGAGAGUCCCACAAUGUAGCUAAUCACGAAGUUUCUACUACCCUCUCAGGAGUGAACCAUGCUACUAAUGUUUGGCCACAAUUGUGUUGUGAAGGCAGUACUUGUUCAAAUAAUUGGUAGAGUAUUGAAGAAUGCUGACACUGUUUAGGUCACAUAAUUUUUGUUAUGUUAAUAGUGAAUUGAGAUGUAGGUGGCUGUGUUGAAUAUAAUUGCAUUUAGUAUGUGUUCCAGAGUGGUACUUUAAAACUGAUUUGAUUUUCUGUAUCGAUAUGAUAAAUUUCCCUCAUGAGGUUAUGUUUGUAGUAUUUCAUCGAUUGUUUAGGAAAUGUGAUGGGAUCUUUAUUUAAUGAGCCAUAUUAUAUCAGGCUUUUACUGUGAAACAUGGAAAUGUUGUUAAGUUGUAAAGCUAAUGAGUGAUGUCUGAACUAAUUGUUUUGUAUUUCAGCAAUGGGAGAUGUUCCAGUGAUACGUACCAUGUGUCAUCAAAGUGUUCUGUAUCUUAUGAGUUAAUUAAGUAAACAUGUAAUGUAGCUUCUACUUUAGUUUUAACUUUAACAUAUGUUGAAUGAAAAUGGGAAGUAGAGAAAUUGUUCAAGCCUGCUAGGUAGAUUGUCAUAUAUGCCAAUUGUAUGGAAUUUUAAAGAUAUCAAUAUAAUGUAUUACAAACCAC